rnacentral:rRNA from 1 species
ACGGCUCAGUAACACGUGGAUAACCUAACCUUUAGGACCGGGAUAACCUUGGGAAACUGAGGAUAAUACUGGAUAGGCAAUUUUUCCUGUAAUAGUUUUUUGUUUAAAUGUUUUUUCGCCUAAGGAUGGGUCUGCGGCCGAUUAGGUAGUUGGUUAGGUAAUGGCUUACCAAGCCUUUGAUCGGUACGGGUUGUGAGAGCAAGAGCCCGGAGAUGGAACCUGAGACAAGGUUCCAGGCCCUACGGGGUGCAGCAGGCGCGAAACCUCCGCAAUGUGAGAAAUCGCGACGGGGGGAUCCCAAGUGCCAUUCUUAACGGGAUGGCUUUUCAUUAGUGUAAAGAGCUUUUGGAAUAAGAGCUGGGCAAGACCGGUGCCAGCCGCCGCGGUAACACCGGCAGCUCUAGUGGUAGCAAUUUCUAUUGGGCCUAAAGCGUCCGUAGCCGGUUUAAUAAGUCUCUGGUGAAAUCCUGUAGCUUAACUAUGGGAAUUGCUGGAGAUACUAUUAGACUCGAGACCGGGAGAGGUUAGAGGUACUCCCAGGGUAGAGGUGAAAUUCUGUAAUCCUGGGAGGACCGCCUGUUGCGAAGGCGUCUAACUGGAACGGUUCUGACGGUGAGGGACGAAAGUUAGGGGCGCGAACCGGAUUAGAUACCCGGGUAGUCCUAACUGUAAACGAUGCGGACUUGGUGUUGGGGUGGCUUUGAGCUGCUUCAGUGCCGAAGGGAAGCUGUUAAGUCCGCCGCCUGGGAAGUACGGUCGCAAGACUGAAACUUAAAGGAAUUGGCGGGGGAG